CCUUGGCGUAGCCAGGGCCACACGUCAGCUUAUCACGGCAACCAAAAAGUUGUUAUAAAGUUCAACCGUGACGGUUAGUAGUUUUUGGCGAAAGCACGAAACGAUGGUGAUAUUAAGGUAAGUUGGCUACGUUGA
rnacentral:sRNA from 12 species